UGGAUAGUUUUCCACAUAGAGUCUAAAGGAA
rnacentral:piRNA from 1 species